UACGUAGGGUCCGAGCGUUGUCCGGAAUUACUGGGCGUAAAGGGCGCGUAGGCGGCCGCCUAAGUCAGACGUGAAAUCCCUGGGCUCAACCCAGGAACUGCGUCCGAUACUGGAAGGCUUGAAUCCGGGAGAGGGAUGCGGAAUUCCAGGUGUAGCGGUGAAAUGCGUAGAUAUCUGGAGGAACACCGGUGGCGAAGGCGGCAUCCUGGACCGGCAUUGACGCUGAGGCGCGAAAGCCAGGGGAGCAAACGGG
rnacentral:rRNA from 1 species